GAUGAACGCUGGCGGCAUGCCUAACACAUGCAAGUCGAUCGGUAAGGCUCUUCGGAGUACACGAGAGGCGGACGGCUGAGUAACGCGUAGGAACACAACCUGCAGUGAGGGAUAAGACACCGAAAGGUGUUCUAAUACCGCAUACGGUCUUCGGAUUAAAGCAUUUAUGCGCUGAAGGAGUGGCCUGGGUCUUAUUAGAUAGUUGGUGAGGUAAUGGCUCACCAAGUCGAUGAUGUGUAGCUGGUCUGAGAGGAUGAUCAGCCAGACUGGAACUGAGACACGGUCCAGACUCCUACGGGAGGCAGCAGUGAGGAAUAUUGCACAAUGAGCGAAAGCUUGAUGGAGCAAUGCCGCGUGCAGGAUGAAGGCCCUCGGGUUGUAAACUGCUUUUAUAAGAGAAGAUUAUGACGGUAACUUAUGAAUAAGGGACGGCUAACUACGUG
rnacentral:rRNA from 1 species